GCUCCGUUAGCUCAGCUGGAUUUAGAGUAUCUGACUACGAAUCAGAGGGCCAUAGGUUCAAGUCCUAUACGGAGCA
rnacentral:tRNA from 1 species